rnacentral:rRNA from 1 species
CAUGGCUCAGAUUGAACGCUGGCGGAAUGCUUACACAUGCAAGUCGAACGGUAGAGGGGGCAACCCCUUGAGAGUGGCGAACGGGUGAGUAAUAUAUCGGAACGUGCCCAGUCGUGGGGGAUAACGUAGCGAAAGUUACGCUAAUACCGCAUACGCACUGAGGUGGAAAGCAGGGGAUCGCAAGACCUUGCGCUAUACGAGCGGCCGAUGUCAGAUUAGCUAGUUGGUAGGGUAAAGGCCUACCAAGGCGACGAUCUGUAGCGGGUCUGAGAGGAUGAUCCGCCACACUGGGACUGAGACACGGCCCAGACUCCUACGGGAGGCAGCAGUGGGGAAUUUUGGACAAUGGGCGAAAGCCUGAUCCAGCCAUGCCGCGUGAGUGAAGAAGGCCUUCGGGUUGUAAAGCUCUUUCGGCUGGGAAGAAAUCGCACAGGCUAAUACUCUGUGUGGAUGACGGUACCAGCACAAGAAGCACCGGCUAACUACGUG